UUCCGUGUCGUUAGGAUUUCAAAUGCACUCUGGCUGGAAUUUUGAUGUCCAAGGCCAAAUCAAGCUGUUCUUGGGGAUUGUGGAUAUAUAUCUGCAUGCACAUCAAGUAUAGCUACUAAUCGAUCUUGGUCAACUUAAAUACUCUCAUGAGGUAUAAAUUAAACCAAAUCAUGCUAUUAUACCCAAACUAGUAAAAAAAAAACUGAAUGGCUUUGCAACCCUUUACCAGAUUGAAUAAUCUUGUGGAGUUGUUUAGAGUCCUCAUCUUUGGUCGGUUCCAUAUCCAAGUAAUAACCAAUGCAUCUUCUUGUUUGGUGUUGAUUGAGUAUAUAUUUUGUGUUCCCUCUCUCACCAAGAUUAACUGGAAGUUUCAUGUUUAGAUUUUUUUUGGAAGGUUAAC
rnacentral:lncRNA from 1 species